AUGCUUUUGUCAUUCAUACGCGUGAUGCUUGGGCGUUCAGGCUGCCGUGUGACACGUGCCUCCCUCAGACCUUGUUAUGACCUUGGCAGAUCACCAGUCUAAGG
rfam:Canis lupus familiaris chromosome 14, whole genome shotgun sequence.